rnacentral:lncRNA from 1 species
AACAGUUUCAUUUCUCAUCAUUUGAUGCUUGUUUUGGAUUAUACAUUCUUUGGAGUGUUCUACAAAAGAUGAUGCUCACAGAACAUAGAGGUUUUUUGUAAAAUAAUGCUUUCAAAAUAUGUGUAGAUUCUGGUAGUCUAAAUCUCUCUGAAUUAACUGUGAAUUUUGUGUUAAGUAGAAGAAUCUGACACCUCUAACACAUUGCUGAUCUUUUUGCUUUACUGUGAUUGGGUAAAAUAAAUUACUCUCAUUCUCUUAAAGUCAUCUUUGGCUAGUAUUUCACAUUCUAGAAAAACAUACUGGAAAAAAAUUAAACUUGGGCUGACAAACAUUUUGACAGGAAUAUAACUUGAUAGACCUGGAAUCGGUAACGUUGCUUCUCCGAUCUGCUAAGAAGAAAAGAUAUUGAUUGUGAGGUAGGCAAGGGUACCAGGGACCUCUGAAUGGUCAAGUGAUGUGAGCAGUUUUUCAAGAGAGACAGGAUUGGAGUGGAGUGUGGGUUAUCAUGGAGGCCUCAGAUGUGCUUGGUCAAUAAGCUUUGCCUUAAACUGCACUAGGAGUUCUGCACUAUCCAAAUAUCUGAAAACUUUGUGGCUUUACAACUGAGAAAGAAAUUCAGACUCUUGAAAAAUGGAAGAAAAUUAAUUAAAAUAAAAUAAAAAUAAUAAGGAACAGGACCUUUAUUUUUAUUAUUAAUCCAUAAGUGGAUAUUCUGCAAAGCACAGCCUGACCUCACCUCUUUAUGAAGUGUAUUGGUGCUGUGACUGGUCUAAAUCCAUUUCUGGAAAGUGCAACAAGCAUUAUACAAAAGUAAAAGAAAUGUGAUGGAGCCAGGGAAAGAAACUGUGAAAGACCAGUGGAAAAUUAGUGGGAAGUAAGACAAACUGAAAACUGGAUCCUUUGGCUAACCACCAAGGGCUCCUUUGGGCUGCCGUUAGAAGACUGAAUGCUAUUCUGAGUUAUUUUCCACUGAUCCACUGCACUUGAUACUGUAUGAGUUGUAUAUUUUCUUUCACUUCAACUUGCAACAGAAAUUUACAGAUGAAAAUAACUGGUUACUGCUUUAGUAAAACAUAGAAAGAUAAUCACAUAGUUUCAAUUGAAAUCCUUUCUCUAUUUCCUAUGUCUUUCUAUACAGGGAAUUCUAAUUUAAUGUCAGAUUACCUUAACUAUAAUGCUACAAGUGAUGACCUAGGAGCUUAAAGAUUUUAUUAAGUGAUAUAAAUACAUUUUGUAGUGCAGUAUAACAGUAUUGGAAUUAUAGGAGUCUGGUACAUUGUAAAUAUGCAUUGCAGUAUUUUCUGCUCUUUUAUGUCCUUCAUGAGAGAGCUUAGUAAUCAUGCUGAAUGUCAGAGUUACUUAAACACUUUCAAACUCCUCUACUAGAGAAAAGAACAUAACUUUUAGGCUUCUCAGUAUUUCAGCUUUCUUUUGUCUCAAUUUUUAACUACAAAUAAAAGCAUGAUUCAGUUAGCCAUUUUAUUUGUGCCUUAUUUUAAGAAUAUUUGCAAAUAUUUGCAAUAUUGCAAGUGUUUUGCAAUAUGAAAAAGUGCAUACUUAUUGUUUAAAAAAAAAAAGUAUCUGACCAAGGCAUUUAGCUUGGCUACUGAACAGUUAGUUUGUAAUAAUUUUUGGCUGUAGAGUAGCAAUUAGUGAUGUCACAAGGUCAGUAUCAUAUUACCAGACAUUGUAGCUGUCCUGUGUGAAAAUCAAUUGAUUAACUAUUUCCAUGUGUUUUUUGUUGGUUUUUCUCUCUAUAAUAACAUAACAAAAUGUUUAAUAAAAUCCCUGGACAGAUUUUUGCAUCACGGUUUUGGUGGCUGUAUUACUAUAUUUCACGUAUGUUUGGGUUUUAGAUUAACUGCCUGGGACUGCCUAGAGCAAUGAUUAUUUUCCAGUAGGCCAAUCUUCUGCCAUUCAAAUACAAUGUGCUAUGUACUGGACAUGCCCUUAAAUUUUACAGCUGACGUUUACGUUUCAACAAAUCAUCAUAGUCACUGUAAUUAGAUUAUUACAGCUAUAUAAAUUUAUGGUUUGACUAUAAACUAUUGUUUUCCUUUUUUUCUCUUUCUUUUUUCCCCUCCUUUGAAUUCAGAUAUGCAGUUUCCAAACAUAUCAUUUUCCUUCUCCUGAAUUGACCUGCCAGUAAGCAGCUUGGCAGUUUACUGAGACCAACAAAAGCUGCCUGCAUCUUAACUGUGAUAACUUUGACUGAAGUUCCUGCCAAGGAGAUUAUGAAGUGCACUUUGGGACCUGAGCUGAAACAAUGCCCAUCCCAUGAAUCCAAAGAAGCAGAUGAAAGCAGAGGACCUGUACGCACACUAAAGCUACAGUUUACUAUGAAGAAACUGCUCAGUCUCCCACAGUCAUAGAACCAUUGGAGUUUGGAGGGGACCUUCAAAGAUCUUCUAGUCCAACUCCUCUGCAAUGAACAGGGACACCUACAGCUUGAUCAGUUUGCUCAGAGUCCUGUCCAACCUGACCUUGAAUGUCUCCAAGGACAAAGCAUCCACCACUUCUCUGGGCAACAUCACUACCCUUACUGUAAAAACGUUUUUCUUAUAUCCAAUCCAAUGACAAAAUCAUUGACAAAGUAUCUUGCCGCUACAUGUGUAUAGGGACACAUAAAAUCUCAAGUAACAUAUGAAACAUUGUUUGUGGAAAAUAUAAUCAUCCAUCACCUAAAGGUCUACUUUUUGGCGCACUUAGAACCAACAACUCUUGCAUCUUACUCUAGUCAGCUUCAAUGCAUUUGCAGUUGCAGACACAUAAGACUGUGCCUCUGUCCUAGUAAAGAUCAAGAGUAAACAACAAUAAUAAGUGAUAACAAACCCUGGAAUCGCAGGCAUCAGCCGAGUGCAGCUUCUUUCUCCCAGCCAGGAGUCUGUUCAUGUGUGUUCAAGGCCAGCUCUGAUACAGUGCAACAGUGAACAAACUUGUAUGAGAAAGAAUUAUGAGCAGUCAUAGAAUCAUAAAAUCAUAGGCAUCAUCAUAGUCAUCUAGGGUCUGGGAGCUGCUUUUAGGCACAGGUUCCUACCACUGGUCCCUUAAGCCAUGUUGCAUUUAUAGCUGCACACAGAUGUCUAUCUUGAUUACUUGAGUUAGAUUUGUACUCCACUGUGUUUCUCUACAUUAUCUUCCUGGGUUUUGGCUACCAUGAUGAAAUAAGUCUUUGCAAAAAAGUUCAUCUCACAAAGGAACCCCUACUGGGAAUUUCCUUCCCAGUGCAGUUCUUUAGGAAGUCUAGUUUUUCAGUGAACGGAGUUUGGGUACAUGGACAUCUACUGGAGUUACAAUAUCAUGUAAUGGAUGCAGUUCAGUGUCACUUGGGCAUAAAAUUUACAACUUUGUACGAUCAGAUAAGGAUUCAUUUUUACAGGAGGCCUCUUUUUAUGCUAUUUUUGACUGUGAAAUUAAGUUAUAAAAUAGAAUCAGAACUCCAUCUUAUUAGAAGCUAUACAGCAUUCUUAUCCUGAAGGAGUCACAGUUGUGUUUGGAUGAAUCUUUGACUUUGAAAAGGACACAGCAGUUAUUUUGUGGUUCCAAGUGAAAAUUUUCUCGAUCUUAUCAUUGAAUGAGAAAUAGUAAAAACUUGUAAUGCAGAAAAUGCUGCUAUAAUUAUAUGAGCUACAUUAUAUGAGCUAUAUAAUUUAGAACCAGAACAAUAUAUUAUCACAUAAACCUGUGGAAGAAGAAUUUUCUGACAAACCUCUCAUUUCAUCAAAUAAAGAAAUUAAGGAAAGACAGUUGCAAAAGCAAGAUUGAACAGAAAAAUAUAGUGAUGGAUUACAACGGCAAAUGCUGACAUGGAUCUAGAGACAUCUCUAAUUAGUGUCAGGAAAUUUGAGUAUGUUCUCAUCCAGAGUUUUCUCUAAGCUGCACAUCUCUUAAGUAUAAAUCCCUGGGGAAUAAGACUUGUAACAUAACUGAUGGAAUAACAGUGAGAAGAAAAACAGUGUAUUCUCAAGUACACAGAGUGGAACUUGUCAUUAACAUUUACUGUCUUUUUACAAAGCCAGGUUUGCAUUUUAUAAUCAGGAUUCCAUGAACAAACCUGAGACUUCAGUGAAGAAUGGUUUUAUUUGAUCAGUUGACUGUUGAGUAACACUAAGAUAAACAAUGAACCAAUCAUUUUGUCUUACUCCUCUUUUCACUUUUGUAUGCCUGCCCCUUAUGGUGCCUGUAUACUUUUUGCCCUAUAAAGCAAUACAUUCAAAAAAAGAUUAUUCAAGGACAAUAAAAAAUAGACCUGAAUUGAUGCUUAGUUCCAAUAAUGAAAUUUCAAGAUUUGUAGUGAAGCCAUAGGUUACCAUGAGCUGAAAGAAUUGAGAUGGAGGAAAUGUUUACGUUGGAAAAGAAUACAAUGUGCUCUCCCACCAUGUGGGGUGAAGGGCAUUUUUGUGAAAUGCCCAGCUCAAGCUAUGCUGAACAAGUCAGUUUGACCAUGUGAACUCCCCCACCACCUAAAAACCUAGGGUCCUGCUCUUAUGUGCCUGAGAUUUGGGGUGGCAAAAGGGAAGAGUUGGGGGGGGGGAGCUUUCCCACUCUACUUUUUCCCCUCUUUUUUCUCAUAAUCUGUCUGGAACUCUAUCUUUUUUAAUGCAACUGUAAAACAAGCGAAAUGAAGCUGACAGCAGGUGCUGUGAUCAGUGCUGAUAUAACCCUGUCUCAGCCCUGGACAUCUGAUCAGAAUGUACGCUGUGCCUGAGGUUCUCCAGUUGUGAUUAUCUUAGUCAUACCUUAGGCAGAAACUGCAUUUUCUGUCUUGUUUCUCUUUUCUGACCCCUUCUUUGAACGUUCUUUUAUUCCUUCUGGAAAGAGGAUCAGGUUGAGUAGCAACAGAAAAGCUAGGAACUCCAAAAAAGCUCAAUUGUCUUCUCUUUUUAUUCCAGAAGAACUGUUAUUACUGUUACUAAAAGACAGUCAAAGAAGGGAGUUUCCCUAUAAGAACUCCUUGCUGCUAAGGGGGAAAGAGAUAAUAUUUAACUCUAAAUCUUUUACUCUAUAUUCACUCUACAUUUCAAGUGACUUAGCAGUUUUUCCUUUUUCAGGGUCUGUAAUCAAAGGAUAGAUUUGGAAUGCUGGUUAUUACAAUGGGAGUUUGCCAGCAAUAACUUGAAACCCAGAUAAUGCUUCACUGUUUAUGUUGUAACUGUGAGCAAGUUAUACUGACAUCUUAUCUUUUGUUGGGCACAAGAUAGGUUAUGUUCAACACAGCUCUCAUAUCACUUAGGAAAAGUAAAACUUGUUUGUCUUCUCUAUAGUUUAACAGAAGAGCGCAUUCCCAACUGCUUAUAGCCUUGCUAAGUUUUUAUUGUUUGCAUUCUGGAACCAUUCCCUGCUGUACGUAUACCUCAGAGACUUGCUCGGGAAAGCGUCAGCUAAAGCACUUCAGUCACUUCCAAGAACAAGAUUUCUAAGAAUUUUGAUUAAAAAGCUCAGAGGUGAGGAGUGUGAUAGUGGGGCUGACUGGGCAAGAACCCAUAGGGCACAGGUCCUGUGCAAAGAAUAGUAAGCAAUAACAUAAUUUAUCAUAAUGCAAACUCACUCAUAAAGAGACUGAAAUAAGGAGGCAAAAGAAACUUGAAACACUUGAACUUCAUAAUUUAUAAGAAUUUGACUUGCAACAUUAAUACUGUUCUUUUAGUGUGGUGUUUUGGUGCAUAUCAAUUUCUAAGACACUACUGCUAUAGAAAGAAAUAACGUACUUCUGUUAAUUGUGAACAUGAACCAUACUGGAGGUUGGGAAUCUUGAUGUAGACUUCAGCUUUCUGUAAUGUAGACUUUCAGCAAACCAGUAUGGAAAACAAAUGCCUGGCUAGCAAGCAACUGAAGAGUGUAAGUGUAGUUGCAAGCAACUACAGCAAGUCAAUAUUUCUGACUCACUUUUUCCAGAAUGAGAGGUCGCUCAUGGAUACAACUUUAAAUAAAACAGAAGAUGAGGCUUUAGUUUUUGCAUGUCUAGCAAAAAUAUCAUGAAAACUAUUCGUAAAUGGUGUCCUUACUUAAGUAAACUUUUGUCAGAUCUAGGCAAUUUGGCGUGCCUUUUGUUUAUAAACUUGAACUUUGAAAAGCUUCCUCUGUUUUUGUAAUUACACGGUGAAAUAAAAAGAGGAUUUCUUUUUCCAGAGUUUUGCCUUUCUCAUUUGUCUCCAAAUAUAUUACACUAUAGACAACAAAAAGACACAAUAUUUUUAUGUUUAAAAACAAAUGAGAACUUAGUCCCCAUGAGACUUUGAGCUUCUUCAAUUUCCAGUCAUAGCAGGGGGCUUAGCACCUCAAAGAAUCAAGCAUAAGAAAGUCAUGGCAUUUUCAGAGGGAAAAAAAAAAAAAAAAAAGAAUGACAUAUCUUU